rfam:Hordeum vulgare subsp. vulgare, WGS project CAJW01000000 data, contig: morex_contig_1585811
AAACUACUCCCUCCGUCCUAAAUUUUUUGUCUUAGGUAUGUCUAGAAAUGAAUGUAUCUAAAUACUAAAACAUGAGUAGAUACAUUCAUAUCUAUACAAAUCUAAAACAAGAAAUUUGGAAUGGAGGGAGUACAUU